rnacentral:rRNA from 1 species
CCUACGGGUGGCAGCAGUGAGGAAUAUUGGUCAAUGGGCGCGAGCCUGAACCAGCCAAGUAGCGUGAAUGAUGACUGCCCUACGGGUUGUAAACUUCUUUUAUAAAGGAAUAAAGUGAGGCGCGUGUGCCUUUUUGUAUGUACUUUAUGAAUAAGGAUCGGCUAACGCCGUGCCAGCAGCCGCGGUAAUACGGAGGAUCCGAGCGUUAUCCGGAUUUAUUGGGUUUAAAGGGAGCGUAGAUGGGUUGUUAAGUCAGUUGUGAAAGUUUGCGGCUCAACCGUAAAAUUGCAGUUGAAACUUGCAGUCUUGAGUACAGGAGAGGUGGGCGGAAUUCGUGGUGUAGCGGUGAAAUGCUUAGAUAUCACGAAGAACUCCGAUUGCGAAGGCAGCUCACUGGACUGCAACUGACACUGAUGCUCGAAAGUGUGGGUAUCAAACAGGAGUAGAUACCCUAGUAGUC